CAGCAGCCGCGGUAAUACGAAGGGGGCUAGCGUUGUUCGGAUUUACUGGGCGUAAAGCGCACGUAGGCGGACUUUUAAGUCAGGGGUGAAAUCCCGGGGCUCAACCCCGGAACUGCCUUUGAUACUGGAAGUCUUGAGUAUGUAGAGGUGAGUGGAAUUCCGAGUGUAGAGGUGAAAUUCGUAGAUAUUCGGAGGAACACCAGUGGCGAAGGCGGCUCACUGGACCAUUACUGACGCUGAGGUGCGAAAGCGUGGGGAGCAAACAGGAUUAGAUACCCCGGUAGUCCCUGUCUCUUAUACA
rnacentral:rRNA from 1 species